rnacentral:tRNA from 2 species
GGUGGCCCGGCGCGGCGGGGGCUUCGCACCGCUGCGGCUGGUGCUCGCCGGGGUGGCGAUCGGCCAGUUCCUGUCCGGGUUCACCA